UACAGAGGGUGCAAGCGUUGCUCGGAAUUACUGGGCGUAAAGCGUGCGCAGACGGCAAGGCAGGUCGGGUGUGAAAGCCCUGGGCUCAACCCAGGAAUUGCAUUCGAAACCAUCUCGCUCGAGUAUGGGAGAGGGGAGCGGAAUUCCUGGUGUAGAGGUGAAAUUCGUAGAUAUCAGGAGGAACACCGGCGGCGAAGGCGGCUCCCUGGCCCAUUACUGACGUUCAGGCACGAAAGCGUGGGGAGCAAACAGG
rnacentral:rRNA from 1 species